rnacentral:rRNA from 1 species
AUUGAACGCUGGCGGCAUGCCUUACACAUGCAAGUCGAACGGCAGCACGGGAGCAAUCCUGGUGGCGAGUGGCGAACGGGUGAGUAAUAUAUCGGAACGUGCCCAGUCGUGGGGGAUAACGUAGCGAAAGCUACGCUAAUACCGCAUACUAUCUAUGGAUGAAAGCGGGGGAUCGCAAGACCUCGCGCGAUUGGAGCGGCCGAUAUCAGAUUAGGUAGUUGGUGAGGUAAAGGCUCACCAAGCCGACGAUCUGUAGCUGGUCUGAGAGGACGACCAGCCACACUGGGACUGAGACACGGCCCAGACUCCUACGGGAGGCAGCAGUGGGGGAAUUUUUGGACAAUGGGCGCAAGCCUGAUCCAGCAAUGCCGCGUGCAGGAUG